GACGAACGCUGGCGGCGUGCUUAACACAUGCAAGUCGAACGGAAAGGCCCUGCUUUUGUGGGGUUCUCGAGUGGCGAACGGGUGAGUAACACGUGAGUAACCUGCCCUUGACUUUGGGAUAACUUCAGGAAACUGGGGCUAAUACCGGCUAGGAGCUCCUGCUGCAUGGUGGGGGUUGGAAAGUUUCGGCGGUUGGGGAUGGACUCGCGGCUUAUCAGCUUGUUGGUGGGGUAGUGGAUUACCAAGGCUUUGACGGGUAGCCGGCCUGAGAGGGUGACCGGCCACAUUGGGACUGAGAUACGGCCCAGACUGCUACGGGAGGCAGCAGUGGGGAAUAUUGCACAAUGGGCGGAAGCCUGAUGCAGCAACGCCGCGUGCGGGAUGACAGCCUUCGGGUUGUAAACCGAUUUCGCCUGUGACGAAGCGUGAGUGGCGGUAAUGGGUAAAGAAGCACCGGCUAACUACGUG
rnacentral:rRNA from 1 species